rnacentral:hammerhead_ribozyme from 1 species
AUCCAGCUGACGAGUCCUGAAUAGGAUGAAACGCACGUCCUGGAU